rnacentral:lncRNA from 1 species
AAACAUUGUUUACCAAAUAGCCAUACACACAAAACACUAAGUCUGAGACUCCUUGGCUGGUCCCGCAAGUAACCCUCAUAUAGGAAGACUAGAGAUUGUUGCGCAGAAGAACAAAUUGGCACGCCCAACGGGACCUCGACAGUGUUAAGUUGUAUGCGAUUGUGCAGUGGAAAAAUGAUGUCUCCUAGAUCCCACGAAGAAAUGUCUUCGGCGGGAG